AAGACCUGUAAAACUCUAAUUUACAUCAAUUGACUGCAACUCAAACAUUUUGAUUAAACUAAGGCCU
rnacentral:tRNA from 1 species